CGAGGUGCCCCCCCCCCCCGUUUCCUGGCCCUGCCACUUCCUGGUACCUCCCCAACAGCAGAAGCACACUCAGGCUUUAUCGUCUACACCCACAGAAGACACCACUGGUCACCAAAGCACAGUUCCCCCUCGCCCUGUGGAAAGCCCAGGUUUGACCCGUGUGAGGUCAAACUGGAGAGAAGGAACCCCUUCCUACUCCCCAGUGGGCAAAUCUUAAGGUCUUCGCCAAUCAAGGACAUUUCUAACCGUAAGAUUUGAUGGAAGUCUAUGGAAAGCUUCAGGGAAAAUUUUCUUCCCUCUUGAAACAGAAUAGAGGGAAAGAAAUUGACCUCUUGUGUUCUGACCUGUGGAUGCUGCUGUAAGAGCACAGUGUCUGGAGAUGUGGCAGCCAUCUUGGGUCCAUGAGAGAGACUGUGCCAUCACAAGAAAAGAUGGAAAGAACCUAGAUGUUUGACACUUGCUGGUGAGUUGCUGAAUUGAUCAGCCAACCCUAGGACUGCUCUACUUCAAGGCAUUGAUGAAGCCACACUGGGUGUGGUCAUCAUUUCUUAGUGGCAAAGCCGUCUUGUGGGAUGCAUCCUGCAUAGGGUGAACUAGGCAGAAGCAUGCCUCCUGGCUGGAACUCCUCAGCAUCCCUCCAGACCCCUGGGAGGUACUUAGCUGACAUCCUCUUGAGCAAUCCUACAAGCACCUCAAAAACAUCUCGGAACUUGAACCAAUACCUGCCUAACUCCCCGGAAGAACUUGUCCUUCACGGGUGAAUGGAGUAAGGCCAAGUUCCAACCCUGUGAAGCUUCCAUAGCAAACACACAACCAUGCAGGAGGCCCAUGCCACGGCCCGGGGUGGGGGGACUGGGGAGGUGCCACGGAGAAGGGAUAAUUCAGCUGUGAUUUCAAUACUGAAGAGAAUUUUUUGAGAUUCAAAUUCUCAGCUCUGAAAAGGAAAGAAGAGCUUUCCAGCCAGAGGAAACGGCAAGUGCAAAGGCCCUGGGGUUGGGCUGAAUCUGUGAUUUUCCAGGAGCAGCAAGGAGCCGGGGAGGAGGUAGCAGUGAAAGAAGAGCCGAGGAGGGGGAAGUCGGAAGGGCCUGUGGGGAGGGCGCAGGGUCCUCCUCGGAACUGUCCGGUUGUAUCCAAAGUGCAGCUGAUAGGGAUUGAAGGGCAAAGCACCAUCAGACUUGGUUUUUUUGUUUGUUCGUUUGUUUGUUUGUGCACCGGCAUUGAAGCCAGGGCCCUCACCACUGAGCCACAUCCUCAGCCCUUUUUUUUGUAUUUUUUUAUUUAGAGACAGGGUUUCGCUGAGUUGCCCAGGGCCUUACUAAGUUGCUGAGGCUGGCUUUGGACUUGCGAUCCUCCUGCCUCAGCCUCUUGAGCCUCUCGGGUGGCGCGGCCCUGGUGACUCGAGUUUUUGUUUUUUUUUUAAUGUAUAUAUCUUUAGAUGUUGAUGGACCUUUAUUUCAUUCAUUUAUUUAUUUUUAGGCGGCGCUGAGAAUCGCGCCCAGGGCCG
rnacentral:lncRNA from 1 species